CCAAAAUGCAUGAAAAACAAACAUCUCUACAUAUAAUGACAUGAGCAUUGAAGUGAAAGAGCUGGCCACCUUUCUAAAUAUAGAGGAUCAUGUGG